UACGGAGGGUCCAAGCGUUAUCCGGAAUCAUUGGGUUUAAAGGGUUCGCAGGCGGUUUAUUAAGUCAGUGGUGAAAUCCUACAGCUCAACUAUAGAACAGCCAUUGAAACUGAUAGACUUGAAUUUAGUUGAAGUAGGCGGAAUGUGUAGUGUAGCGGUGAAAUGCUUAGAUAUUACACAGAACACCGAUAGCGAAGGCAGCUUACUAAACUACGAUUGACGAUCAUGAACGAAAGCGUGGGGAGCAAACAGG
rnacentral:misc_RNA from 1 species